rnacentral:lncRNA from 12 species
CCAGGGACACAGAAAUCCCAGGGACACAGAAUUCCAGAAUCCCCAAGGAUCCAGGAUCCCCAGGGACACAGAGUUGCAGGGACACAGAAUUCCAGAAUCCCAUGGACACAGAAUUGCAGGGACACAGAAUUGCAGGAUCCCCAGGGACACAGAAUUGCAGGAACACAGAAUUCCAGAAUCCCAUGGACACAGAAUUGCAGGGACACAGAAUUGCAGGAUCCUUUAUCCCCAGCCCUGGGCAGGGCUUGCAGGGGAGGCCAAUCCCCCGUUCUGCCCGUUCCAGGGAAGAAGAGGGAGUUCAGGUUCCAUCCCAUCAAGGAAUCCAUCGUGGAGGAGCCCGUGGACAUCACCCCCUUCCUGGAGCAGCUGGACGAGUCCCUGAAGGACAAAGUGCUGCAGCUGCAGAAGGGCAGUGACACGGAGGCGCAGUGCGAGGUCAUGCAGGAGAUCGUGGACCAGGUCCUGGAGGAGGAUUUUGACUCGGAGCAGCUCUCGGUGCUCGCCUCGUGCCUGCAGGAGCUGUUCAAGGCGCAUUUCCGCGGGGAGGUGCUGCCGGAGGAGAUCACCGAGGAGUCCCUGGAGGAGUCCGUGGGGAAGCCGCUGUACCUGAUAUUCCGGAACCUGUGCCAGAUGCAGGAGGACAACAGCGGCUUCUCUCUGCUGCUGGACCUGCUGUCCGAGCUCUACCAGAAGCAGCCCAAGAUCGGCUACCACCUGCUCUACUACCUGCGGGCCAGCAAGGCGGCGCUGGGCAGGAUGGGGCUCUACGAGUCGUUCGCCCAGGCCACGCAGCUGGGGGAGCUGCACACCUGCCUGAUGAUGGACAUGAAGGCGUGCCAGGAGGACGACGUGCGCCUGCUCUGCUUCCUGACGCCCUCCAUCUACAGCGAGCUGCAGGAGCUCGUGUGCCACGUGAUGAUGGGAAACCUCGUCAUGUUCCGCAAGGAUUCCGUGCUCAACAUCCUCAGUGAGUGACUCGGGGAGUGGGAGAGGAGNCCUUUCCAGGGGGAUCCCUGUUGCUGCCCCCGAGGUGUCCCGAGGGCUGAAUUUCCUGCAGGCAUUAAAGGAUCGCUGCCCCGAGC